rnacentral:rRNA from 1 species
GACGAACCGAGCGAACGUUAUUCGGAAUCACUGGGCUUAAAGGGCGCGUAGGCGGACUCGCAAGUCAGGGGUGAAAGCCCCCAGCUCAACUGGGGAAGUACCUUUGAUACUGCGAGUCUCGAGGGAGGUAGGGGCGUGCGGAACUUCCGGUGGAGCGGUGAAAUGUGUUGAUAUCGGAAGGAACGCCGGUGGCGAAAGCGGCACACUGGAUCUCAACUGACGCUGAGGCACGAAAGCCAGGGGAGCGAACGGG